CUGUUGAAACAUGGUAUACCUGAUCCAUCUUCACAUUUGCAGAGCUCAACUGGGGGGCCUGAAAGAGAAAAUAAAGAUAAACUCUUUGAGGGUGAAGAAUAUAUGGCUACUCCAGUCUUUGUGCAUACAAAAUUGCAAGAUCAAAAUGUUACCCCACUCAACUUAGUGCAAAUGAGGAAGGCACUUGCACAAUAUUUCAGCUCCUCUUCAUUCAUCAGAGGGAGAUGGGGAAACAUGAGAAAGGAAAAUUUCUUUUCUUCCACGGCUUCUAGUACUAGUAAUGAUUUUCAUGCUAUGCCACUGAAUUUAUUUUUAAUCCCAUCUAAAAACAAAGAUGACUUGCCAAGGGCCCAGCAUGAAAGUUACAACUCUGCAUUAUGGAAACUGCGAGAUGAGGUUUUAUCCAUGAACUGUCCUUCCUUUGCAAGGACUGUCUCAGAACGUGACUGGCUGAAAAAUUCUGCAAAGAUAUGGGAACAAGUUAAAAGCUCAGCUGUCAUUGCUGAGUAUAGCCGAACACUUCAAAAUUCAGGCAUGUUUAGGAGGUAGCAGCCCCAAUGUGCUUUGUUUUGCUCUCUCUGUACCAGAAAUUUUCAUAUACACAAUUCCCGUGUACUGUAUUAUGUCAGCAUUUGAAGGCCUUGGAAUGAAUGGAUGGUAAGAGGUUGAUAGCCGAGUUGAUUCUUUCGCUUUCUAGUUGUUAGGUAGCAAUUAAGCUUCCUAGUUUUCUCCUUUAAGCGUUGUAGGGCAACUCAACCUUCUAACCCAAAGAAGCACAAAGAAUUAAAGCAAAUGUUUAUUCCAUUGCCUACACAUUUUUAUUUGUGUACUUAAUAUGAUCAGCAUUUCAGUU
rnacentral:misc_RNA from 1 species